CCGCUCUGCCUCCUCCUCCUGGCCAGCCUGGCCCAGAGCUCUCUGGGACUUGGCUAAGCCCCCUUCAAGGGCAUCCGAAGGGAGCACCCUCCUGACCGCCAGGGUUGGGGCAGGGGCACAGGGCUGUCCCUGCCCAGCACAGCUUGGCUCCGUCAUCUCCAUGGAAUGUCACCUGUGGGGCCAGGCAGGCUGAGCAACUGGCUGUCCUCCAGGGAGACGCCUCUUGGGAGCCCCCACCCCGGGCUCCACCCCACCCCACCCCGCCCUGCCCAACGUCUGGAGGCACUCGAGGAAGUGGGCACCAGCGGACAGGGAAGGGCAGAGAAGGCCACCAUGGCGACACUCCUCUCCCGUCCGCAGCCGCGCCCUCCCCUCUUGCGCCAGGCCAUCAAGAUAAGGCGCCGCAGAGUCAGAGAUCAGGAUCCCCUGCCCCAGAUGGCCCCAGAGAUCCAGCCUCCGUCCCACCACUUCUCCCCCAAACAGCGGGCCCUGCUCUACGAGGACGCACUCUACACUGUCUUGCACCGCCUGGGUCAGCCUGAGCCCAACCAUGUGACGGAGGCCUCUGAGCUGCUGCGAUACCUGCAGGAGGCCUUCCACGUGGAGCCUGAGGAGCACUGGCAGACGCUGCAGCGGGUCAGGGAACUCGAGAAGCCAAUAUUUUGUCUGAAGGCAACAGUGAAACAGGCCAAGGGCAUUCUGGGCAAAGAUGUCAGUGGGUUCAGCGACCCCUACUGCCUGCUGGGCAUUGAACAGCGGGUAGGUGUGCUGGAAGGCAGCCCCGGGUCCCGGCAGCGGCAGAAGGCUGUGGUGAGGCACACCAUCCCUGAGGAGCAGACCCACCGCACGCAGGUCAUCACCCAGACACUCAACCCCGUCUGGGACGAGACCUUCAUCCUGGAGUUUGAGGACAUCACCAAUGCGAGAUUUCAUCUGGACAUGUGGGACCUGGAUACUGUGGAGUCUGUCCGACAGAAGCUUGGGGAGCUCACGGAUCUGCAUGGGCUUCGCAGGAUCUUUAAGGAGGCCCGGAAGGACAAAGGCCAGGAUGACUUUCUGGGGAACGUGGUUCUGAGGCUGCAGGACCUGCGCUGCCGAGAGGACCAGUGGUACCCCCUGGAACCCUGCACUGAGACCUACCCAGACCGCGGCCAGUGCCACCUCCAGUUCCAACUCAUCCACAAGCGGAGAGCCACCGCGGCCAGCCGCUCGCAGCCCAGCUACACGGUGCAUCUCCACCUCCUGCAGCAGCUCGUGUCCCAUGAGGUCACCCAGCACGAGGCGGGAAGCACCUCCUGGGACGGGUCGCUGAGUCCCCAGGCUGCCACCAUCCUCUUUCUGCACGCCACACAGAAGGACCUGUCCGACUUCCACCAGUCCAUGGCGCAGUGGCUGGCCUACAGCCGCCUCUACCAGAGCCUGGAGUUCCCCAGCAGCUGCCUCCUGCACCCCAUCACCAGCAUCGAGUACCAGUGGAUCCAGGGUCGGCUCAAGGCAGAACAGCAGGAGGAGCUGGCCGCCUCAUUCAGCUCCCUGCUGGCCUACGGCCUCUCCCUCAUCCGGAGGUUCCGCUCUGUCUUCCCCCUCUCUGUCUCGGACUCCCCAGCUCGGCUGCAGUCUCUUCUCAGGGUCCUGGUACAGAUGUGCAAGAUGAAGGCCUUCGGAGAACUGUGCCCCAACACCGCCCCAUUGCCCCAGCUGGUGACUGAGGCCCUGCAGACUGGCACCACUGAAUGGUUCCACCUGAAGCAGCAGCACCAUCAGCCCAUGGUGCAGGGCAUCCUGGAGGCAGGCAAGGCCUUGCUGGGCCUGGUACAGGAUAUCAUUGGCGACCUGCACCAGUGCCAGCGCACAUGGGACAAGAUCUUCCACAAUACCCUCAAGAUCCACCUCUUCUCCAUGGCUUUCCGGGAGCUGCAGUGGCUGGUGGCCAAGCGGGUGCAGGACCACACGACGGCUGUGGGGGAUGCAGUGUCCCCAGAGAUGGGUGAGAAUCUGUUCCAGCUCUACAUCAGCCUCAAGGAGCUCUGCCAGCUGCGCCCGAGCUCCUCAGAGAGGGAUGGAGUCCUGGCCCUGGAUAAUUUCCACCGCUGGUUCCAGCCGGCCAUCCCCUCCUGGCUGCAGAAGACGUACAACGAGGCCCUGGCGCGGGUGCAGCGCGCUGUGCAGAUAGAUGAGCUGGUGCCGCUGGGUGAACUGACCAAGCACAGCACAUCAGCAGUGGAUCUAUCCACCUGCUUUGCCCAGAUCAGCCACACUGCCCGGCAGCUGGACUGGCCAGACCCAGAGGAGGCCUUCAUGAUCACUGUCAAGUUUGUGGAGGACACCUGUCGCCUGGCCCUGGUGUACUGCAGCCUCAUAAAGGCCCGGGCCCGCGAGCUCUCUUCAGGCCAGAAGGACCAGGGCCAGGCAGCCAACAUGCUGUGUGUGGUGGUGAAUGACAUGGAGCAGCUGCGGCUGGUGAUCGGCAAGUUGCCUGCCCAGCUGGCAUGGGAGGCCCUGGAGCAGCGGGUAGGGGGCGUGCUGGAGCAGGGGCAGCUGCAGAACACGCUGCAUGCCCAGCUGCAGAGUGCGCUGGCUGGGCUGGGCCAUGAGAUCCGCACUGGCGUCCGCACCCUGGCCGAGCAGCUGGAGGUGGGCAUCGCCAAGCACAUCCAGAAACUGGUGGGCGUCAGGGAGUCCGUCCUGCCUGAGGAUGCCAUUCUGCCCUUGAUGAAGUUCCUGGAGGUGGAGCUUUGCUACAUGAACACCAACUUGGUGCAGGAGAACUUCAGCAGCCUCCUGACCUUGCUCUGGACCCACACGCUCACAGUGCUGGUGGAGGCGGCCGCCUCCCAACGCAGCUCACCCCUGGCUUCCAACAGGCUGAAGAUUGCCCUGCAGAACCUGGAGAUCUGCUUCCACGCUGAGGGCUGUGGCCUGCCGCCCGAGGCCCUGCACACUGCCACCUUCCAGGCUCUGCAGAGGGACCUGGAGCUGCAGGCGGCCUCCAGCCGGGAACUCAUCCGCAAGUACUUCUGCAGCCGAAUCCAGCAGCAGGCAGAAACCACCUCUGAGGAGCUGGGGGCUGUGACAGUCAAGGCCUCCUACCGCGCAUCUGAGCAGAAGCUGCGUGUGGAGCUGCUCAGCGCCUCCAGCCUGCUGGCCCUGGACUCCAACGGCUCCAGCGACCCCUUUGUCCAGCUGACCUUGGAACCCAGGCAUGAAUUCCCUGAGCUGGCCGCCCGGGAGACCCAGAAGCACAAGAAGGACCUUCACCCAUUGUUUGAUGAGACCUUUGAAUUCCUGGUGCCUGCUGAGCCGUGCCGCAAGCCUGGGGCAUGCCUCCUGCUCACCGUGCUGGACUACGACACGCUGGGGGCCGACGACCUGGAAGGCGAGGCCUUCCUGCCGCUGUGUGAGGUGCCUGGGCUGAGUGGCUCUGAGGAGCCUGGUGAGGUGCCUCAGACCCGCCUGCCUCUCACGUACCCGGCACCCAACGGGGACCCAGUCCUGCAGCUGCUGGAGGGCCGGAAGGGUGACCGAGAGGCCCAGGUCUUUGUGAGGCUGCGGCGGCACCGGGCCAAGCAGGCCUCCCAGCAUGCCUUGCGGCCUGCACCGUAGCUGUAGAGGAUGUUCCGGAACCAGAUUUACGACGCUUUGCUCUCUGAGACACACAAGUGCACCCACAGAGGAGGGACGUGGUCCUGUGCGGAGACCCUGUGGCAUGCACUGUCUGAGCCAUCUGCCCCGUCCCAGAGGAAGACCUCAGGGUCACCCCACCCACAUGAGACCAGCCCUGCAGCAAGCUCUCCUGUCCCACCCAUCUCUCCUCCUCCCUCGGAGAAGCUCUCCUGACUCUGCUGUCCAGUGCCUGACACAGGACCUGGCACAAAGCGGGCACCUAGAAAUGAGUACUGAAAGAAAGGAGCACCAACUUCUAGCACCAGGAAUUCUGAGAAUGUCGUGCUGGCUAUUCACUACACAAGGACACCAGUGAGAUGAAUGGGGACUGAACGACACGUCUUGGGGUGAGACUGUACUCGCCAAGGGGAAAAGGCACCUCUUUCUAAUUUGCACAAAGGAGCUCUCAGGGCCAUUCCUGGCCCUACACCUUGGGGUCAUUUCUCCUUUAGCUCAAAGGACUCAGAGUGCCCACCCCCUGAUUUUCCCAAGACAGAUGUCUAAGGGGUCUGGUGUGCUGAUUUGAGACUCGCUUCAGAGACUGGGGGGGUCUCUGACCCCAGACCCAGUCCUGGGCUUGCAAAUAGAAAUGGCCUAGUUACCUAUGACUGACUCUACCGUGUCGCUGGUGGGGUAGAAGGGCAGAGCGUUUGCAUUCAUGCCGGGGACGCUGCUGGUGCCCACUGGGCUAGGGGGGGUAGCUGCCAGGCUGGAGGUGAUACUAGAAGAGAUGCUUGAGGUCAGGGGGCUGCCUGCGGGGAGGAUGCCCAGCAUGUCCUGCAACGAGAGAGGGAAGAGGAGAGGCAAUGGUAGGCUCCAUACAGAGGCCAGGACGAGAGGCUGGAGAGGGGCUGGGGGCAAGGGAAACGGCCCAUGCCAGCUCUAGUCUGGGUGCCCCCAUGCCCACAUGGGCCCCGGCACACCCGACACCUUGUUGACAGCAUGGAGUUGGAGGUGCGGAGGCUGCCAGCCCCACUCGCCCCUGCAAUCCUGUAGCAGGGAAGAGAGAAGCGAGCACAGGGCCUGGCAGAGGCUCCAGGAACCCUUUCUCCACUGAGUCUAGGAGGUGAGGGGCUCCAGGGCCUGACCCCCUACCCUCUCUGGAUUUGUGGCUGGGACCCCACUUUAGUCCUGCCCUCAGCUUUCGGGAAAAGUGGUGCCUCCCGCUCCCCGAAGCCUCCUGGGGUUCUGGGCCAGUCCUGUCCACAGCAGAGAGGAGGAAGGGGGCUGAGAGCUCUAUACCUGUUUGGGCUGAAGCAGAGGCUGCUCUUGACUCCUGGGCUCUAAUGAGUGGGGUUUUAAUUUGGCCUAAGGGAGAAAAUUCAGGGAGUGGAUGAAUGUGGUGCUGGGGGGUCCCUGAGUCCAUCUGACCCUGAGGCUGCAGGUACCAGGGGGCAGGUGGUGGCAGACAUGCAACCCCUCUUCACAUGCAUGCACACACCCCCUUCUUCCUCCCCACCUCCUACUCCCUUCCCCUACCCUAAGCAGGGAGCUGCCCUUCUCCUCCAGGUAACACCAGGCCUCAUGUAAGCCCAGAAGGUAUCUCUCCAGGCCCAGUUAGGGACCCAUGUGUCCUGCUUCCCCAGGCCCUGCCUUUCCAUGAAGGCAGCUCAGGGCAGCAGAAGGACCGCACCCAGGUGGGAUCCGGCUCCUCUCCUAACCAGCUCUGCGGCCCAGGGGAGGCUGUGCAGCCUCCCCAGCCUUCCUGUCUUCCGCUGCAAAUGGGCUGACUCUGCUCCCUCUGUUCAGUCCUGAAGAGGCCGAGGACAGUGGAGUCCUAGCUCCCAGUCAUCCUCCCCGUAGCUGGACCAAGAUACUCCUCCAAGAUUCUCUUGCCCCACGCAGGAGAAGGCUAACCUCACUGCUGCCUCCCUCAUCCCUUACCUGGCAUUUGAAAUUUUUCAGGUACUCGGCUCCCACCUGGUCUUCCCUCUCGAAGCCAGGAGCCUUCUUAUAGCUGCCAGGGGCCAGGCCAGACUCCCCAGGGAAGACGAUGCCCUCCAGGUUUGGGGGCUUCCUGAUGGAGCCCGGUGGGGAGCCGCAGAGGUUAGAUGGGCUGCCUAGGCUGCUAUUUCUACAGAGGAGCUGCAGAGAAGGAGGGGAGGGAGUGGGCCCAUGGGCACAGCGCAGGCUGGUGCGUGGGCCCGUCCUCUACCCUCUCCAGAGGGAGUCUUCAAGGGGCUCAGUUCCACUUUCGUCUGCCAACGAGCAGCAGCGACCACUCGGGGAGCCCGAAGCUCACGAAGGAAAGGGGGGUGGCCUCAGGCUUUGUCCCUGCCACCAGUCCUACAGGCUCAUCAGCACAGGCUCUGGGGACUGCCCUACCCCACCCCCGGGCCUGGGCUUUUGACGAAGAAUGCUGAGAUGGAAAAGACAGAUCCCCCGGCCUGAGGACAAAUACCAGGAUGGUCUCCCAAGCCCAGGCUGAAAGGGCCUAGGAAGCAAGUGUUGGCUCUGUCAGGCAUGGUGCCCACCCACUCCCCAGGAUGGACACGUACGGCACUGAGGUCAGGGGCAUGCGGGCUGGAGGGGCUCACAGGCACCGAGUCUCCAGCAGCAGACGGCAUGUACAGGACAGGACCCGGCUGGGUGGGGCUGGACACAGCUGAGGAAGGCUGCAGGUCGUCACUUAGGGGUGGCUCUGCAAGAGUCAGGGGCAGGGGUCAGCAGGCCUAAGCCAGCUCUGUCCCUCCAAAAAUGCUCCUGGGUCCCUUCCAAAGGAGACCACAAAUCCCCCUGCACAUAAAGGGAAGGUUCCUACGACAUCUCUAGUAACACCAUGUCUGUGCAUUUACUGUGCCAGGCACUGUGCCAGCACUUUGCAGUAAUUGUGACUCUUCAUGGUGACCAGAAGAUACCAGUAAUAUGGUCUCCAUUUUACAAAUAAGUAAACUGAGGCUCAGAGAGGUAAGGUAAAUCCACCAAAGUGACAGAGCUAAAACACAGAAGAGCUGGGACUUGAAUGCUGAUCUGCACAACUCCAAAGCCUGAAUCACUUCCUUACGCUGUCUCAGCCAGGCGGUCCCAAUGCCCAUGGCCGCGGACCACCUCUGCAUCAAGAAUAUGCUUCUCCCUCCCAGGGCCCUCGAUUUAUUUUCCAUUCUCAUCUCAGAGACAGGGCCUGAGCCCGGAAAGAGGUUAAGGAGACCCAGGGCAGUAUCUUGGGGUGGAAAGAGGUGUUAACAGGUACAAACUGGAGCUCUGUCUCUGAGACUGGUGGUGGCCUACAGUAUCAUGCUGAGGAUCCAGACCCACACUGUCCCACAAGGCAGCCGAAAGCCACAUGUGGCUACUGAGCCCCUGAAACAGGCUGGUCUGAAUGGAAAUAUCCUGUAGGCAUUAAAAUGCAUAUCAGAUCUCAUAGACUUAGUACAAAAAAAGGUAAAAUGUCUUGAUAAUUUUGUAUAUUGAUUAUUGAAAUAACCUUUUAUGUUGGGCUAAAUACAAAUAUGUUAUUAAAAUUAAUUUAACAACA